rnacentral:pre_miRNA from 1 species
GCUCUUUUCACAUUGUGCUACUGUCUGAGCCCAUCCCUAGCAGUGCAAUGUAAAAAGGGCAU